GGAUUCCCCUAGUAACGGCGAGUGAAGCGGGAAGAGCUCAAAUUUUAAAUCUGGCGUCCUUCGGGCGUCCGAGUUGUAAUCUAGAGAAGUGUUUUCCGCGUUGGACCCACCAUAAGUUACCUCGAACGGUACAUCAUAGAGGGUGAGAAUCCCGUGUGUUGGUGGGAAGACCAGUGCUCUGCGAUGCGCUCUCGACGAGUCGAGUUGUUUGGGAAUGCAGCUCAAAAUGGGAGGUAAAUUCCUUCUAAAGCUAA
rnacentral:rRNA from 1 species